rnacentral:lncRNA from 1 species
AUAUAUACAUGUAUUAUUUGACAUAACCUGCACAUUUAAACAGACUAUCACCCAUCUCCACUACCUCCACCGCCCACCACCACCACCGCCUCACCACCACCACCCCAACCUUCCGACGACCACGAGCACCACCCAACCCUUAGUUCUGAAACCCUUGUAGAUCUCAACCUCAGAUCUGCGCACCCUCCUCAAUCGUCCCCGUCAACACCACCAGGAUACUUCAUCUCAGGCAAACUUUCCUCCCCAUCACCACCACCAGGAUACUUCACAUCACCACCUCCUUAUCACCACCACCACUAGUUUCAAAUACCCCAUUUCUUCCCUGCCCCCUAUCCCGGUUCAACUCCGGUCCAAUCUCACCCCUCCCCGCAACCGGUUCAACUCCACUAUUCUCCAUCCCACCACUACGACCGCCACUUUCCAAAUCAACCCGAUGUGGACUACUCCUAUCUCUAACACUAAAACUUCCAACUUCACCAGAUAUGGAAACAAAAACGGUUCUUUUAGCCCAAGAUCUCAAAUCUUUGGCAUUGUGGUCACCUUGGGGAACAAAAGGCUUGAUUUUGGAUCUCAAUUUUUUACCCUUCUGUUUAUCUGCUUUGUUUGAUGAUUCUGAGGUCGACCCACGAUCCAUUUUGUUCAAGAUUUUGGGGGGAAAACGAAGGUGGGUGUGGAUAAAUGUGAAGAUUUGAUCAACCCUUUUGUAAAAUUGAAAAUUUAUUAGAGGGGUGUGUUCAAUUUGGAAAUUUGGGUUUUGCUGACUCUUAUAGGGAUGAGAGAGAAGGUGGAGUGAUGAAGUUGGUGAGAAAAGGUAGUGUGGGUCACUGUUGGCAGCAUUUGCAUCGGAUGAAGAGAGAGGGGGUGUGAGGUGCUUUGGUGGUGGUUGCAGAAGGCGACAGCUGGUGGCAGGGCCGUCUCCGAAAAUCACAAAAAAAAAUUGGCCCGGUUCGAGAUAAAAAAUUUGGGCCCUAUUCGCAAAUAUUCAUAUAAUAUAAACAGUGGCGGAUCCAGAAUUUUUUUCCAGUGGGUUCACUAUUUUUAGAUGCUUCAAUUUCAUAGACCGGACAUAAAAAAUUUCGAGUCGGCUCAACGGUUCGGGUCAGAAAUCUGGACGGGUGAAGAGGGGCAAACAAAGGUGAAUGAGUUGAUCAUGUACUAUCACAGCUGCUUCUUCUUCGUCAUCUAGGUUAUGCUGCUAUUCAAGUUCUUUCUCUGCAGAUGAAGCAGGCGACAAGUAAUGCCUUUUUUGUGUCUUCUUUAUCUCAAACCCCCAUAAUUUUCCCCCAAAUCUCUCAUUUAC